AGCUCACUGUGUGCACUAGUGUCUCCUCACUUGCACUGGAUACACGAAGCAAGACGUUUUGACUUCCCCGAGAUCUCCCUGAAACCCGCCAAACAUUCACACGGACGGCGGACUACAGUUCCAGCAAACCUAGGCCUGGGGAAAUCAUUAACCAGAGACAAAGCACAACAGCACACUGGCAGCUGCUGUAUGAAGCAUAAUUGCAUGUAAUCCAGGCCCUAGUCCGAGGGCUUUAGAAAAAAGCAGCAGACUAGAAAAUACCAGCUGGAGAGAGCACCUCCAAACCUACUGUGUCGCACUUUCAGUUUGCUCAUCAGUGUGUGAGAAGGAGCACACAUGUUCUCAGAUGAACAAAUAUGGGUCUCUGCUGAAUAGUGGAAAAAGA
rnacentral:lncRNA from 1 species